GGGGAUGUUUUGGAUUAGACAGGGUGAUCGAUUAAAUCAGGCUGCGAGUCCGAGCGCUGUUCUCGGUUAUCAACGAGCAAAUUAAAUUAAACGCUGAAAACAACGUUGUAGAUGCAUCUGCAGCAUUCGCUGCAAGAAGAGCUUCAGCUCUAGCUGCCUAAUUACGCAGUUUGCUACCCUUAAGUUGUCCACCUUGCCGACACUUUUGGGCCAUCAUGCAAGGACAAGAUUGUGAUAGUAGUAGCAGUCCCAAGUUUACUACCAAAGGUUUGUUUAUCCGAAAAAUAAACUGUGGGUAAAUGUUGGUUUUGUAUCUUUCCAAAUUUACUCAAGAUAAUAAGAUGCUACGCCCGUAGAUGUUUGCUUUAAUCCAUUUUGGACGUGGGUUCGAGUCCCACCAUCUCCA
rnacentral:tmRNA from 1 species